rnacentral:rRNA from 1 species
AUUGAACGCUGGCGGAAUGCUUUACACAUGCAAGUCGAACGGCAGCACGGACUUCGGUCUGGUGGCGAGUGGCGAACGGGUGAGUAAUGUAUCGGAACGUGCCCAGUCGUGGGGGAUAACGUAGUGAAAAUUACGCUAAUACCGCAUACGAUCUAUGGAUGAAAGCGGGGGAUCGCAAGACCUCGCGCGAUUGGAGCGGCCGAUAUCAGAUUAGGUAGUUGGGGGGGUAAAGGCCCACCAAGACAACGAUCUGUAGCUGGUCUGAGAGGACGACAAGCCACACUGGAACUGAGACACGGUCCAGACUCCUACGGGAGGCAGCAGUGGGGAAUUUUGGACAAUGGGCGAAAGCCUGAUCCAGCCAUUCCGCGUGCAGGAUGAAGGCCCUCGGGUUAUAAACUGCUUUUGUACAGAACGAAAAGGUUUCUACUAAUACUAGGAGCUCAUGACGGUACUGUAAGAAUAAGCACCGGCUAACUACGUGCCAGCAGCCGCCGUAA